rnacentral:misc_RNA from 1 species
CUGAAUUUAAUUCCGGAGUUGUAGCUGGCCAUGAAUUUGGCAUGUGCACACUCUGGUAAAUCCAAAUCUUUACACCUUUGUGCACCAUUCAUGGGAUUGAUGAGUCUAUCUUGGCGCCAGCGCUGGUAGUAUCGUUUUUCUCAUGCUUUAUAUUAUACACCUUUCAGUAAAGAAUGUUUAUUGCGUUUGACGCAUCUUAAUAAUA